GGCAAUAUGGCCGAGUUGGUCUAAGGCGCCAGAAUCAGGAUCUGGUCCGAAAGGGCGUGGGUUCAAAUCCCACUGUUGUCA
rnacentral:tRNA from 4 species